GGGUCGUUAGCUCAGUUGGUAGAGCAGUGGACUCUUAAUCCAUUGGUCGAAAGUUCAAAUCUUUCACGGCCCA
rnacentral:tRNA from 1 species